rnacentral:rRNA from 1 species
UACGUAGGGGCAAGCGUUGUCCGGAAUCAUUGGGCGUAAAGAGCGUGUAGGCGGCUCGAUAAGUCUGCUGUGAAAGUCCAGGGCUCAACCCUGGAAGGCCGGUGGAAACUGUCGGGCUAGAGUCCGGAAGAGGCGAGUGGAAUUCCCGGUGUAGCGGUGAAAUGCGCAGAUAUCGGGAGGAACACCAAUGGCGAAGGCAGCUCGCUGGGACGGUACUGACG